GUACUGAUAGCUCAGUGGUAGAGCAAUCGGCUACAGUUUCUUUAGGUAUUGAAGGAAAGCCUCUGGUUGGUCCUCCUUUCAAGUCUAGGUCAGUGCU